rnacentral:misc_RNA from 1 species
ACAGUUGGCAGUGGGAGUUGGAGUCUCGGAGAAGAUGGCAGAAGAUAAUAUUCUCCUCGCGUUGCUUGCAUGACUUUACGCCGCUAAUGGAACAAUAUGAACCGUGACGUUAUUUAUUCUGACUAUCUGAGUGUUUUACAUCACCACUCUAAGAUCUGCAAAUGUACUAGCACUUUGAGGAUUAGAUUUACUCAGACAAUACUUUAAAAAAAUCUAAAAAAUGGACGGAACGCGUGCCUCAGAGGUUUUACCUUUACUAGAAGAACGCCUGGCAAUAUUACCAGGUGGACGUGAUCGCCGAGGUGGUCCUCUUUUAUUAUUUCCUACAACAUCAAGGAGAGAACGUACUAAGUCAGAAGAUUAUCGUCGCUUACUCCAGUAUCUUUUUGCUAUUUCUAAUGAUGAAGCUCGCUUUACGGUUAUUGUUGACAUGCGAGGAGGAACUUGGGACUCUGUAAAACCGAUAUUAAAGGUUCUACACGAGUACUUUCAUCGCUCCGUUCAAGUUGCAUAUAUUAUAAAACCAGAUAACUUUUGGCAGAAGCAACGAACUUCUUUGGCAAAACAGAAGAAGUACAACUUUGAGGUAAACACAAUAAGCUUGGAAGCACUGACAACAGUCAUUGAUCCAUCUCAAUUAACCGCAGACUUGAAUGGAUCUUUCCAAUAUGACCAUGCUCAAUGGAUCAAUACACGUUUGGCUGUAGAAGAUUUUACUUGGCAAGCUGCAGAUUUACUUGAUCGUUUGGAUGAUCUUCAAGAAGAUCUUAGUCGCAAUGAUUUUGCGGACGACGUAAGUGGUGCUAAACAUGGUAUGGAUCUUCACAAUGAAAUGAGAAAAAAGAUAAUGAAAAUACCAGUUGAAGAAGUUGAAGUUGUAGGCCAACGAUUAUUGCAGCGAUUCAAUCAAGGUAUAAGCGGUACGUCAAGUGAUAGUGGUAGCAUUGAAGGAGGAGCAUCAGGUAGUGUCGAUUCUGAUGGCUGUGCACUGGCAACUUUAGUCAUUCAGCAUUUGGAUUCCGUUCAUGCGGCACAACAGCAUCUACUUCAACUUUGGCAUAUUAAGAAAACAAAAUUAGAUCAUUGUUUACAACUUCGGAUGUUCGAACAAGAUUGUGAAUCAAUGUUUGAGUGGAUUUGUCGCCAUAGAGAAAUUUUUCUUGCCAAUUACGUUGAGAUUGGUCGAUCUUUUCAACUAGCAAAGAAUCUUCAAGAAGAGCAUAAACAUUUUACAAUGAGUUCAAUGAAUGUUUAUGUUACUAUAAACAAAAUAUUAACAACAGCAGGAAGACUUAUAGAAAUGAAACACUAUGCUACCUUGCAUGUGAGAGCUGUAGCUAGUCGUUUAGAUCGUGCUUGGAAAGAAUUCGCUGCUGGACUUGAUGAACGUACUGCUGUUCUUAGUCUUAGUGUUGCUUUUCAUCACAAGGCCGAACAGUACGUUGACAGCGUAGCAGGAUGGAGUCAAGCAUGCGAGUCGACAAAUCUACCCAACGAAAUUGCAGUCCUUGAAUCUCAUAUACGACAACAUCAAACACUAUAUGAAGCCAUGUGUCAAGCAUAUACUGAGGUUUACAAUGCAUAUCAGGCCCUUUUGAGUGGUCUAGGUACUAUGCUACAAGUUUGUCACAGCUCAAGUUCCACUGGGGUCAUCAACAAUGAGAUUUUUCCCAGCGAAUAUGUACACAGUACCAGUAAGAAGCUUCUUUAUCAACUGGAUCAUCUUGUUCAAGUCUGUAAUCAGCCUCAAGGGAUUGACCACAACAGAAAACAUAGUCAAGAUGGCCAUGGAAUAGACAAUCGUGGUGGAAUGAGUGGAAAUCCAGCUGCGGAUUACAGUGAGGGUGCGUCACAUGUGCUUGCGGUUAUUCAUCGAAUUUUAAGCCAUCAUAGAGCUCUGGAAGCUCGAUGGCAUGCUCGCAAAGUCAAAUUACAUCAACGACUUGCUUUAAGAUUAUUUCAAGAAGAUGUAAAACAAGUAUUAGAUUGGUUAACAAAUCAUGGUGAAGUUUUUAUCAGAAAAAAUACUGGAGUAGGAAGAAAUCUGCAAAAAGCCAGAGUUUAUCAAAAAAGUCAUGAACACUUCGAAAAUGUUGCUCAGAAUACUUAUACUAAUGCAACUAAAUUACUCACUGCUGCUGAAGAACUUGCGCAUACUGGAGAAUGUGCAGCUGAUGAAAUAUACUCAGUAGCUCAAGAAUUAGAACGACAUGUGAGUAAUUUUGCAACAAGGGUUGAGCAAAGGCGUCGUCGUUUACACCUAGCUGUUAUAUUUUAUACUCAUGAAAAAGAAUUAAGCGGUUGGGUAGAUGAAUUACGCCAAGAGUUACAACAAGAUGAAGUUGCAGAAAAUUUAGAAACAGCAGAAAGACUUUUAGAUCAAUGUGCGCAGCACAGAUCAUCUUGUCUUGAAGCUUGUACUUCAACAAUAGCACAAGGCGAGGCUCUCUUACAAGAACUUCGAGAUUCGACUGAAACUUCAGAUACAACUGGAUCAGUAAGCGCAGUAGAAGCAGCUCUUGAUCGACUUGCAUUAUUACGUCAAGAAUUUGAGGAACUUUGGGCAACUCGUAAAUUACGAUUAGAACUUUGUUUACGUUUGCGCAUGUUUGAGAGGGAUGCGCUUGAAGCAAGUGGACAACUUGAAAUGUGGGCUCAGGAGCUUCGAGGACCACCGAGAGAAGGUUCGCCUGAACAAUUGCUUCGUGUUCACAAUGAUGGAGUGGCUCAUAUGCAAAAUACUGCAUUUCAAGUUUUACAACAGGGUCAAGAACUUGCUCAAGUUUUAGAUCAAGCUGGAGUUUGUAUUAUGGCUGAUGGUCAACAUACCGCAACUGCUAGAGUUCAAGUUCUUUUAGAAUUUUUAAACGAACGAGAAAUGGAUGCUGAAGAUUUAGCGGAGAUCCGACGAGUACGAUUAGAACAAGCUGCUCAGUUAGUACAGCUUCAAAGUGAUGCUCAGCAUGUUGCUAAUUGGAUCAGAAAUGGUGAAGCUAUGCUCUUGGCAUCACUCAGAGUUCCAGAAAAUCUAUCAGAUGCAGAACAGUUACGCUUAGAACAUGAACAAUUUCAAGUAGCUAUUGAAAAAACACACACUUCGGCUGUUCAAGUUAAACAUAGAGCAGAUGCAUUAGUUGGUGCUAAUCACUAUGAUCCUAAAAGUAUUCGCGAAGUUGCUGAAGACGUAACAAAACGAUGGCAACAACUUGUUACUUGUGCUGAAGAGCGACAUAAACUUGUGACUGCUAGCAUUAAUUUUUAUAAGACAGCUGAACAAGUAAGAUCUGUACUAGACAGUUUGGAACGUGAGUAUCGUCGUGAUGAAGAUUGGUGUUUUGGUGGAGAAAAAGGUAAUCAAGUACCAACGCUUGUUGGUAAACAUCAAGAACAAAAAGAAGCUUUUCUUAAAGCUUGUACACUUGUACGACGAACAGCUGAAACAUUUUUGAAGUAUACCAAUAGAAGCUUACAAUUUUAUAGCUAUAAAACUACCAGUGGUGGAUCUGAAAAUAAAGUUAAAAAUAUUCUUGAAGAAUUAUUGAGCAAAGAAAAUAAAGUAUUAGAACAUUGGACACAACGUAAAAAACGGCUUGAUCAUUGUCAUCAAUAUGUUCUAUUUGAACGUAGUGCUAAACAAGCUUUAGAAUGGAUCCGUGAAACUGGUGAAUUGUACUUAGCUACACACACAAAUGUUGGAAAAAAUCGUCUAGAAAAUGAACAACUACUUCAAGAACAUAACGAAUUUAAAGGUGCAGCAAAAGAAACAAGAGAACGAGUAAAAUUAUUAAUACAAUUGGCCGACAAUUUAGUUGAAAAAGGUCACGCUCACGCCACAGCCAUAAAACAAUCUGUUGCUGAAGUUGAUCAGCGUUAUAAAGAUUUCAGUAUGCGCAUGGAUUGUUACAAAACACAAAUUGAAGAUGACUUAGGAAUACAAUCUGAUGAUGGUCAAAAAGAUUUAUCAAUAGAUCGUAAUUCAGAUCCAUUACUUGAAGAAAAAAUCAAAGGAAAAGAUUUAAAAGAAUUGAAUGAAGAAAAACGACGUUCUGCUAGAAGAAAAGAAUUCAUUAUGGCUGAAUUAUUGCAAACUGAACGGACUUACGUCAAAGAUUUAGAGACGUGUAUUCGAUGUUUCUUGGAAGAAACACGAAAUGGACGUGGUAAUGUCCCACCAGGAUUACAAAGUCGUGAAUCAAUAAUAUUUAGUAAUAUGGAAGAGAUUUAUCAGUUUCAUAGUGAUAUAUUUUUACGUGAACUCGAAAAAUAUGAAACAAUGCCAGAGGAUGUUGGUCAUUGUUUUGUUACUUGGGCUGCUAAAUUUGAUAUGUACGUUACAUAUUGUAAAAAUAAACCAGAAAGUAAUCAAUUGUUGGUGGCUCACGGAGGGGUUUGGUUUGAGGAUUUACAAAGAAAACAUCGCGUUGAGCAUCCAAUAGCUGCAUAUCUUAUAAAACCUGUACAGCGAAUCACUAAAUAUCAGUUACUGCUUAAAGAUUUGCAAGCUUGUUGUCAAGAAGGACAGGGUGAAAUAAAAGAUGGACUUGAAGUUAUGUUAAAUGUGCCUAAAAAAGCAAAUGAUGCCUUACAUUUAAGUUUACUUGAAGGCUGCGAUGUUAGAAUCGAUGCACUGGGGGAUGUAGUUUUACAAGAUUCUUUUACUGUUUGGGAUCCCAAACAACUUAUACGAAAAGGCAGAGAUCGUCAUAUUUUUCUUUUUGAAUUAUACCUCCUUUUCAGUAAAGAAGUUAAAGAUUCUACAGGAAAGGUCAAAUAUAUUUAUAAAAGUCGCUUAAUGACUUCAGAACUUGGUGUAACUGAGCAUAUUGAGGGUGAUGAAUGUAAAUUUGCUGUUUGGACUGGUCGUGCACCAACUAGUGAUACAAGAGUCGUAUUACGUGCUAAUUCAUUGGAGGCUAAACAACUGUGGGUUAAACGUUUACGUGAAGUGAUACAAGAAACUUACUUCAGUUUAAGUAUGCCUAAAAGUCCAGCGAAAAAGAGUUCGAGUCAGCGAUCAAGUCGUGACUUGGAGGAAUGUGCAUCACUUGAUGACAGUGUAGAAAACCUAGAUAGAAAUUCAUUAGCAUCUUUUGGAUCUACGAAUACAACUGAUUCUGAAAAAACAGGAGUAACUGAAAUGACUUGGGUAGUAGCUGAUCAUGCAGCUACACCAGGUUCUAGAGAGCUGAGUGUGACAAAAGGUCAACAAGUAGAAGUGCUGGAGAACGGAAGUGUGCAUUCUGGAAGUAGUAGCAAUACCAACGAAUGGACUUUAGUACGACUACCUUUAAUAGCAGGUCAAACCGAACCACCAGCUGAAGGUUUAGUACCUACUAGUGCUCUUAAACAACCCCCGACAACAUCAUGUAAAACUUCACCGUCCAGAAAAACACCUUCUCAAACUAAUGUUACGAUUGCUCAACAGUCUGUCACUCAGGAUGAUGACACCGGUGGGAGUGACGGGAAUGGCUCAGCUAGUACAAGCUCACCAGGAAACAGGAGGCGUGGUUUUAGUGGAAGAAAAUGGUUACCACAACAAUUCCGUAAACUCAGUCAGGGUAAAGUUGAAAAAUCAGCAGAUCGACCAUCAGCGCUUAAAAAGACCGGUUCUGAUAAAAGAUUCAAGUUGCCAACCGGCGAUAAAUCUGGUCGUACAGUUUCUGAAGGUGAAGAAGAAGAAGAAGAAGUUGAAUGUGAUGACAGUGAAACGCCACCGUUCUUGGAGCAAAAUGGUGGAGAAGAUGCUGAAGAUGAUUUUGAACUACCGCCUCCUAUGAAACCCAUUACUGAACCAAUACUAGUAGCUGCCGGUAAUGGUCCGCCAGGUUCUACUGUUCCUGAAGAACUUCCUGGAAAGAGGACUACAGAGCGAUCAAUAAAAAGUUUGGAUGGCGCUACAACUGCUGACUUGGCAGAGAUCGAGCAAAUUGUCAAAGAGAGAAUGGAACAACAUACAGAAAAUCAAGAACGAAAUAGUUUGAUGAGAACACCAGGACGUCCACCGUCCACUGAUGAUAAUUACGCUAGCUUAAGUGGAUCGACUAUUUCUGAAGAAACUGAUCCCGAAGCUGCAGCACUUACAAAACGACAAUUUGUUAUCAGUGAGUUGGUUGAGACAGAACAAGUUUAUGUUAAUGAUCUUAAACAUAUUGUUGAGGGUUAUAUGCUUCCUAUGAGAGAUCCCGACAGCGAAAUACCUUUACCUGAGGAUCUUCGAGGGGGUAAAGAUAAGAUGAUAUUUGGGAAUAUUGAAGCAAUAUAUGAAUGGCACAGAGACUUCUUUCUUAAAGCACUUGAAAGUUGUUUAAAGCAACCUGAAGAGCUCGGUCCAUUGUUCAAGAAAUAUGAAAGGAAAUUACAUAUGUAUGUUGUCUAUUGUCAAAACAAACCGGUCUCGGAGUACAUUGUUUCUGAGCACAUAGAUACAUAUUUCGAAGAAUUGAGACAAAAGCUUGGACAUCGUUUACAACUUUGUGAUUUACUUAUAAAACCCGUUCAAAGAAUUACUAAGUAUCAGUUGUUACUUAAAGAAGCGUUGCGGUUGACUGAAAAAACUCAAAGAAUAUCAGAGAUUGAAGGACUUCGUGCAGCAGUGCACGUAAUGCGAAUCAUUCCUAAAGCCGCUAAUGACAUGAUGGAUGUUGGGAGAUUACAAGGUUUUGAUGGGAAAAUAACAGCACAAGGCAAGCUUUUAUUGCAUGGGCCUUUAUUAGUUGCGGAGUUAUCAAGUUUGCCAGCACGAGGUCGUGAAUGGCAAGUUUUUCUAUUUGAGCAAAAUAUUAUUUUUAGUGAAGCGCUUGGCAAAAAAACUCAGUUUACAAACCCUGCCUAUGUAUACAAAGCUCACAUUCAGGUCAAUAAAAUGAGUCUAGAAAACUCAAUAGAGGACCCCGAAAAAUUCACGAUUCGUUCAACGGAUCCGAGAAAACCUGGACUUGGUUUUGUAUGUAGUGUACUAGAUGACAAUGGGCCUCGGAAACAGGAGUGGGUAGAUAAAAUCACAUCAAUUCUCCAAACCCAGCGUGACUUUCUUAAGGCGAUUCAAUCGCCAAUUGCCUAUCAAAAGGAACUUACCAAAGAUCCACUCCGUUCGAUGACCCCGGAACCAGUAAUUCGUGCCGCAGUAUCAGUACCACCAAUGUUGACAGUACCUGGUGCAAGCAAUAAAGAGCGAAGUAGUGACCAUAGAAAAUCCCAAGGUAUUCAUCGAUCACACACAGGUGGUCUUGAAAAUUCGCCACGAACUCCAUCACCAACCAAAAGUAAAUUGAAUUUCCUCGAGGGAUUUAGGAAUACUAUUACUCGGGCACGUUCACCAGUUCGCACAAAUUCCAUUCCGCCUAGGGAUUCUUCUGCUUCUUCCUCUUGAUGUCUGUUGCUAUCUGCUCUCUACUGCAUUACCUUUUGUCAUUGCAAUGACAUACUUCUGUUACUAAAAAAUAAAAAAAACACUGAACAUCACUUAUAAAAUAAUAAUAAUAACAAUAGAAAAUAAAAAAUUUUAAAAACCCCUUAAAAAGUACAAAGAGACUACAUGUGUAUAGUAAAAAAAAAUAGUGUUUAAAGUGGAUUAUAGUUGCAUAAAAUUAAACAAGAAUAAAGAUUUAUUUAAAAAACGGGUAUACGUGUAACUAAUUUUUGGUGAUAAUGAUAAUAUAUAAUGAUGGUGGUGGUGGUGGUGGUGGUCAAGAAUAUAAUUUGCGGUUACGCCAGGAUCGCGCGUAAGACUUGUAGCAGAUUGGGGUAAGCUUCAUGCCGGUGAUGAGGUGGUUAUCUCGCAUCUAGAUGGUCCAGGAGUUGUUGUGUCACCGUUGGACGUAAAA